rnacentral:lncRNA from 1 species
CUGGUCUUGAACUCCUGGGCUCAAGCGAUCCUCCUGCCCCAGCCUUCCAAAGUACUGGGAUUACAGGUGUGAACCAAUAUGCCCAGCCAUAUUUUUGAUGAAUCUCAAGAGAAACGGAAGGGGCACUGCAAAAUGACUGAUUAGAUUUCUAAUUAUCCGGGGUAUGGAACAGGCUGACAGAGCUGGAUCCAAAGGGCUCAGAAUGGAGCAACCAAGGUGUAUUCACCUGAUGCUUUGGUCUCCCUAAGCUCUUCCAUAGAAACGAUCAUAUAUCACCUCGGCAAUUGUUUUACGAUUUCUCACUGUGUUUCUCAGAAUGGUCUCAGAC